UAGUCCUAGCCGUAAACGAUGGACACUAGGUGUGGGGGACCAGAUCCUCCGUGCCGUAGCCAACGCAUUAAGUGUCCCGCCUGGGGAGUACGGUCGCAAGACUAAAACUCAAAGGAAUUGACGGGGGCCCGCACAAGCAGCGGAGCAUGAGGCUUAAUUCGAAGCAACGCGAAGAACCUUACCAGGGCUUGACAUAUGGGUGAGCCGGUGGAGACACCGGGGCCGGAAGGAGCCCAUAC
rnacentral:rRNA from 1 species